AAAAAACGACACACCUAUGUUUCAAAAUAACAAUUGCCAAUUUUUACUUCUGCAGGGAGCCGCACCACUCUCUAGCUGUUCUUCUGUGAAUGUGUUGCAAGUCGGACGCAAAAGUAUUGUGCUCCAUACUGAUAUAAUCAUUUUAUUGUAACUUUAAGAGUUUAAGUGAUUAAAAAUAUAUGUAGCCACAAACAAGCGAGAAUGUGUAUCAUGAAAAUUCGCUCCACCGCCACAAUGGGUGCCCAUGUUAAUGUGUAUUUGACACACUAUAGAAAGCUGCAUCUCUACAAACAACUUUCAAUAAGUGGAGGGAGAAAGGGAACAGCAUUCAUGAACCCGGAGAAUACUUCAUUUGUAUGUUAGCCCUGUAGUGACCAGCUCUUGCUCCAAAACAACCAAUCAUCCUGCAGUAGUACUACAAGAACACACACAACCCGGAGAAGAAAUUUUUUGGAACGGCAGAGGAAAAACAACUCAGGAUACAAGAUAACCUUAUUGUCCACCAAGAAAUCAACACAGGACAAGAAACCAAAGAAGUCACAUCUUCAGAUAAUUAAAAGCCCAAAGAGAAGCAGGUGAAAAUUGACACCAAUUUGGUUCUUCUGGAUUACAAGAUUAGUGUCAGCUUCUAGUGAAAGCAUCCUGGAUGGAGUUUGGUCACUUUUCGUAGAAGGGGAGUGACAUCUCAAAAGCAUGGAAAAAUUGAAUAAAACAUAUAAGACAACAUGGGAUGAAGAAUGAACAACUUGAAACAAGUGAUUUGUGGUCUAUGACCACAUAACAGAAGCUCAAGAAUGUAAUAAGCUGGUGGUGAUAAACUACCAACAAUGGGCUCUUGCUGUUGCUUGCCAAUUUCCUAGUUUUACUUUUCAAGCUUCCAUCUUGUGGGUAGUGCUCAUCACAAGAAGAAAUCAGAUCUUUCAGAGAAAAUCACCAGAUCUGUGUCAGAGUGGAACUGCUUCACUGCAUAAAAUCCUUGAUGCAGCAUCAAAUUUUUGAAUCCAGACUCAAGACCUCAUACUACAAUAUGACAAGCUUUUUGUUUGUUUUAGGCUGCCAAUGUCAAUCAACUUAUGAGGGAACUCUCACCAUACGAAAAACAAUGGAGCUUCUUGGGCAGUGAAAGGAUACACAUAAGGUGACAAAUUCGUACACCGCUCAAUAUUAUGUCAGCUUAUUUGGAAAAUUACUACCAAUGUUCUUUGUUUGCUUUCAAGAGGCCACUGGCUCAUAAGGCCAAAAGGUGAAGAAAAAAAAAAACAAUUUAUGAACAUCCAUGCAAAUAUGAAAACAUUAAGAUAACACCUUUAAAGUGCAGAAACACUGAACAGCAAUAUACAAGAAUUUUCUAACCAAAAUUUAAAAACUAUAUUUAAGAGUAGAACAAUUUCUUUUGCUCUUCAAUUCACAGGGAGAACAAAUGAACAAGGUCUGCACGGCAGAACUUCAGAAUGGAGAGGGCCUGUCAAUGUGCAGUUUUAAAGAUAUUCCUCCAUAAUGUAUUCCGAUGGUGCAGCCUUGCAACGUUAAUUUUUACGGGCAGGUGAACAACCAUCUAAAAUGACUGAAAAUCACAUCAUGAACAUGCUAGAUAGCUUCUAGAGAAAAUUGGAUAAAAAUUCAAUCAAUCUUACACCAUCAGUUGCGUGCAACAAUGUUCGAUUAUAUAGUUCAAUAUGAAUGAUAUGCCACAAAACUGUGUUAUGAUCGAGAAGUAUUUACGAAUAUAAACCAAGUUUUACUCUUUAUAUGUGUUGCUUGUCACAAUAUCUUUGUUUUCCACGAUCAAUAGCAUUGUGACUGACAGCUCUAUAGGUUACACAUAU